rnacentral:rRNA from 1 species
CCUACGGGGGGCUGCAGUAGGGAAUCUUCCACAAUGGGCGAAAGUCUGAUGGAGCAACGCCGCGUGUGUGAUGAAGGGUUUCGGCUCGUAAAACACUGUUGUAAGAGAAGAAUGACAUUGAGAGUAACUGUUCAGUGUGUGACGGUAUCUUACCAGAAAGGAACGGCUAAAUACGUGCCAGCAGCCGCGGUAAUACGUAUGUUCCAAGCGUUAUCCGGAUUUCUUGGGCGUAAAGCGAGCGCAGACGGUUGUUUCGUUCCUUAGUUCCCUCCCCCACCUUCCCUGUGGAAGUGCGUUGGAAACUGGAUAACUUGAGUGCGGUAGAGGAGAGUGGAACUCGAUGUGUAGCGGUGAAAUGCGUAGAUAUAGGGAAGAACACCAGUGGCGAAGGCGGGUCUCUGGACUGUAACUGACGUUGAGGCUCGAAAGUGUGGGUAGCGACCAGGAUUAGAUACCCUAGUAGUC